AAUGAACGCUGGCGGCAUGCCUUACACAUGCAAGUCGAACGGCAGCACGGGUGCUUGCACCUGGUGGCGAGUGGCGAACGGGUGAGUAAUACAUCGGAACGUACCUUAUCGUGGGGGAUUACGCAGCGAAAGCUGUGCUAAUACCUCAUACGCCCUGAGGGGGAAAGCGGGGGAUCGCAAGACCUCGCGCGAUUAGAGCGGCCGAUGCCUGAUUAGCUUGUUGGUGGGGUAAAAGCCCACCAAGGCGACGAUCAGUAGCUGGUCUGAGAGGACGAUCAGCCACACUGGGACUGAGACACGGCCCAGACUCCUACGGGAGGCAGCAGUGGGGAAUUUUGGACAAUGGGGGCAACCCUGAUCCAGCAAUGCCGCGUGAGCGAAGAAGGCCUUCGGGUUGUAAAGCUCUUUUGUCAGGGAAGAAACACCGGCUCUAACACAGUCCGGGAAUGACGGUACCUGAAGAAUAAGCACCGGCUAACUACGUGCCAGCAGCCGCAGUAA
rnacentral:rRNA from 1 species